GCAACUAACCUAAUCCAAUUUGGACUGUGGGAGGAAGGCGGAGGACCCUGACAGAACAUGCAGAGCUCCAGGGGAACAUGCUGCCGGAUCAAGGACCUUCUUGCUGUGAGGCGACAGUGCUAACCACCACACCACCGUGCCGCCCUCUAUUGAUUGCUAAUGGGAAGCUACUGACUGGGCCUGAGACUCCGAUUGAUGGUGAAUAUACUGUUAAAGAUGGUGGAAGGAUGUGCAGCAAGAAUACCAAAAUACUCUGCUUUCCGAAAAGUCGGCUCUGUCAAUGCUGAGGUGUUUAUCAGUGGUCCUCUAUACCACAAGUCAGAGGAGGAGAUGAAAGACGUCUUUCAACUACUGACUAUACGGCAAGAGACAGGAGGAGUGUAAACAUAAGAAAAGCACAUAUAGAGACCUUCAGGGAAAGAUGCUCCCACCUAGGGGGAGCCAAGAGGAGGAGUCUCCAACGUCAUCAUCGGGGACCGGCUCCGGUCCCCAACUGCCCCCUCCACCUCCAAGAGGAGGUUACUGUUGGGCAUUAGGCACAAACUUAAUAUUGGGGUUCUAACUGAAACCUGGUUGGACCAAGAUAAUGCAGCUGUUCUCAUUGCAUCUUCACCUCCCCAUUCCAGUUUGUCACUCAGCAUGUGACUCAGCAUGUGACCCGCCCAACAAAGAGCACACCCUGAACCUAAUCAUCGCAUUCAUCUCCAGUAGACUGCACUAUAGUGACGGGGUGUUCAAAGGAACUCUGUAAAAAGCCAGUCAGACAACUCCAGCUGAUUGAGAACGCUGCAGGUCGAGUCCUCACCAAGACCAAGAAAGUGGAUGACAUCGUUCCAGUUCUGAGGUCUUAACACUGGCUCCCUGUCCAACAAAGAUUUUACUUUAAAAUCCUGCUCUUGGUUUAUAAAGCACUGAAUGGUUUAAGGACAAAAUACAUGUCUGACCUGCUGCUACCUCACAUAUCAUCCCGACC
ensembl:lncRNA